rnacentral:snRNA from 1 species
AAAUGGGUGNGUAACCCCAUCCUCNNUCAUGUGCCUCCCUCNCAAAGAUGUGUGUUCAGUGGAAGCAGACGACCAUUCCCCAUAGAGGAGAACCAAUCUUUGGUCAAGAGUCGUGUGAGCAGCUGGGCUCCCCUUCAAACAAGCUNUCAAAAAUCUGAUAAGAUUGACUGGGAAAGCAGCUGACUGAAGGGAUUUCCCAGGGGUUAUGAACACCUACAG